rnacentral:rRNA from 1 species
CACGUAGGGCGCAAGCGUUGUCCGGAAUUAUUGGGCGUAAAGCGCACGUAGGCGGCAUUGCAAGUCCCAUGUGAAAUCCCACGGCUUAACCGUGGAAGUGCAUGGGAAACUGCAGUGCUUGAGUACUUAAGAGGAUCGCGGAAUUCCCGGUGUAGAGGUGAAAUUCGUAGAUAUCGGGAGGAACACCAGUGGCGAAGGCGGCGAUCUGGGAAGAUACUGACGCUGAGGUGCGAAAGCGUGGGGAGCGAACAGG